CCUACGGGAGGCAGCAGUGGGGAAUAUUGCGCAAUGGGCGAAAGCCUGACGCAGCGACGCCGCGUGAGGGAUGAAGGUCUUCUGAUCGUAAACCUCUGUCAGCAGGGAAGUACGGUCACUGUGCUAAUCAGCAGUGAAUUGACGGUACCUGCAAAGGAAGCACCGGAUAACUCCGUGCCAGCAGCCGCGGUAAUACGGAGGGUGCGAGCGUUAAUCGGAAUUACUGGGCGUAAAGCGCUCGUAGGCGGUAUGUCAAGUCAAGGGUGAAAUCCCCGCGCUCAACGUGGGAACUGCCUUUGAAACUGGCAAACUGGAGUGGAUGAGAGGAGAGUGGAAUUCCAGGUGUAGGAGUGAAAGCCGUAGAUAUCUGGAGGAACAGCAGUGGCGAAGGCGACUAUCUGGCACAUAACUGACGCUGAGGAGCGAAAGCGUGGGUAGCAAACAGGAUUAGAUACCCUGGUAGUC
rnacentral:rRNA from 1 species